rnacentral:tRNA from 1 species
UGCCGCCAUGGUGAAAUUGGUAGACACGUUGGUCUUAGGAACCAAUGCUAACGCAUCUCGGUUCGAGUCCGAGUGGCGGCAAC